rnacentral:rRNA from 1 species
UACGGGGGGGGCAAGCGUUGUUCGGAAUUACUGGGCGUAAAGGGCUCGUAGGCGGCCAACUAAGUCAGACGUGAAAUCCCUCGGCUUAACCGGGGAACUGCGUCUGAUACUGGAUGGCUUGAAUUCGGGAGAGGGAUGCAGAAUUCCAGGUGUAGCGGUGAAAUGCGUAGAUAUCUGGAGGAAUACCGGUGGCGAAGGCGGCAUCCUGGACCGAGAUUGACGCUGAUGAGCGAAAGCUAGGGGAGCAAACGGG